UGUUCUGAUCCUGGUUCUCUUCUUGAAGAGCUGGAAGUGGCGGCAGGAGGAGUGGCAUCGGGUGGAGGCUUCUGUGAAGUACAGGGAAGUUUCAGCUUUGAGGUACACAUUGUUUGUUUGGAAAAAAGCUCACAGAAGCUAAAACCAGAUGUAUGCAGCUUUGCCAGGCGUGCAGCACCAGCGUAAACCAGCUAAGACCACUCUUCUAGCUUUCAGCAUGGUAAAGCUGGUUUUUCAAUCUGAACAGCUAAAAGUGGACUCUAAAAACCUCUCUAAAACCAGCCUGCUACACCAGCUAAAACCAAACUGGGAGAUCAGAUCAACUAGGUCCACGUGCUCAUCUCCACUCAAACCUUUGCAGAGAAAUGAAACAGUGACUGCAUGUUUGAUCUACAGUCGCCACCUAGUGGUGAUAAAAAUGAAUAGCAUUAACAGAAAGUAUGACUUCAACAUGUUUUUGGUGGUAUGGUACAGUGCUUUAUAUAGAUUAAUGGUAUAUGGUACAGUCGUCUUUAGCUUAAAGGUAAAUAUAACAGUGAAUGAAGAUAAUUUUUAAACUGUGUUUAGAUGUAGUUCAAUAAAGUUCAGAGUAUCAGUGAAGCAAGUUUGAGAGAUUUUUACAUAAAAUCUAUAAUGUAAAAAAUAUAAUCUUGAUAUCUUUAAUAAGGUCAAUUUUUAAAUAAGGUCUAUCUCUAUUUACAGUUGUUUUAUGCCACAUUUAACCUCCUAAGACCUGGAUGUCACAUAUGUGGACAUCAAUGUUUUUGUUGUUUGCAUCAUAAUACUUAAUUCUGUGUAACUGGAACCUGUUAUACACAAACAUGGACAAAUACACUGCUUCAUGUUCAAAGAAAAAUAUUUGGUUAUUAUAUUUAUUGGUUCCCCAAAAUAGCUGGUAAAAAUCUGGAAAAAAAAGUCUAACCAAAGCUCGGGUUCAGGAGGUUAAUUUAGGCUUCAUGUUAUCUGACCAAUGAUAGGAGAUUGUUGCAUAAAAUUGGUUUGGGGCAGACAAAAUUAUUUUGGUAGUGGAAACCUUUUUAAUUUCUUUUCCUCUCAUCUCAUACAGUAUUUUUGUCCACUGCCAUGACCCUUUAGUCUCUGUGGUGGUUCUUCAUCAGUCAACAUGUCAAAUGUUCUUUAAUGUUUUUGGGAAUUAAUAUUAAGUGUUUAGUGAAUUUAACCCUGCAGUAAACCCAGCAAUAUGUAACUCUGCUGAUGCUUCAACUGCUGUAAGGGAUGAGGGAUUAUUAGCUAACUUAAUGUCUGUUUUUGCCAGUGUUUAACUAUUUGAUAUGUGUGAAGGAUUUUGAGCAAUGAAAAAAACUUUCGUAUGUAUCAUGCAUUAAAAUAUAUGACCUUUGAUGCUUUUUGAUGAUUUAAAUAAAA